rnacentral:rRNA from 1 species
UGGGGAAUUUUGGACAAUGGGCGAAAGCCUGAUCCAGCAAUGCCGCGUGUGUGAAGAAGGCCUUCGGGUUGUAAAGCACUUUUGUCCGGAAAGAAAUCCUUGGCUCUAAUACAGUCGGGGGAUGACGGUACCGGAAGAAUAAGCACCGGCUAACUACGUGCCAGCAGCCGCGGUAAUACGUAGGGUGCAAGCGUUAAUCGGAAUUACUGGGCGUAAAGCGUGCGCAGGCGGUUUGCUAAGACCGAUGUGAAAUCCCCGGGCUCAACCUGGGAACUGCAUUGGUGACUGGCAGGCUAGAGUAUGGCAGAGGGGGGUAGAAUUCCACGUGUGAGCAGUGAAAUGCGUAGAGAUGUGGAGGAAUACCGAUGGCGAAGGCAGCCCCCUGGGCCAAUACUGACGCUCAUGCACGAAAGCGUGGGGAGCAAACAGGAUUAGAUACCCUGGUAGUCCACGCCCUAAACGAUGUCAACUAG